CAGGAAGACACGGAAAUCUGGAACUUCAAUAAUGUACGGAGCUGAAGGAUGACCCCUCCUGUUCACUGGGGCUUCACCGGCCAUGCCAUUCCUGUCUCUAAGCUUACACGUCUGACAGAAGACAUGACGUCUGGGACACAUCGACUCUAUCUUCAGGCUGGUAUGACAGCUGUACAUCCUCAGACCGGAAAGCCCUUCGGUGGGUAGUCAAAAUUGCCCAUUGAAUCGCUGGACAGUCAUCCUAAACAGCCAUCUUCAGAUCAUCAGGGACUCCAUCCACCCCAGCUGUCUGUUUUUUACACUGCCAUCUGGAAAACAGAACAGACAUACAUGGACCACAAAGGCUCAGGUACAAUUAUUUCUUUUGCGCUCUUGCAUAAGCCAAACUUUGAUCUCUUCCCAAUUACCAUUUGACUUACUCCAACAACUCCUUUAAAAAGCCUAAUUUACACAUCA